AAUAGAUACCCUGGUAGUCCACGCCGUAAACGAUGAGUGCUAAGUGUUAGAGGGUUUCCGCCCUUUAGUGCUGCAGCUAACGCAUUAAGCACUCCGCCUGGGGAGUACGGCCGCAAGGCUGAAACUCAAAGGAAUUGACGGGGGCCCGCACAAGCGGUGGAGCAUGUGGUUUAAUUCGAAGCAACGCGAAGAACCUUACCAGGUCUUGACAUCCUCUGCCAACCCUAGAGAUAGGGCGUUCCCCCUUCGGGGGACAGAGUGACAGGUGGUGCAUGGUUGUCGUCAGCUCGUGUCGUGAGAUGUUGGGUUAAGUCCCGCAACGAGCGCAACCCUUGAUCUUAGUUGCCAGCAUUUAGUUGGGCACUCUAAGGUGACUGCCGGUGACAAACCGGAGGAAGGUGGGGAUGACGUCAAAUCAUCAUGCCCCUUAUGACCUGGGCUACACACGUGCUACAAUGGAUGGUACAAAGAGCUGCGAACCCGCGAGGGUAAGCGAAUCUCAUAAAGCCAUUCUCAGUUCGGA
rnacentral:rRNA from 1 species